GUGCAAAUCAAUUUCCUCAGUCAAGUUGCAAAAAUACCUGUAAAGGAUCACCUGCUUCAUCAUCUGGUGGCAAAACUGUGUGCUGCCCAGAGGACAGUGAAAACCUGCAAUGCGAAUAUGGAUUUCUGCUGUACAAACCAGAAGAACUGCCUACCCAUGGAAGCAACCUCAUCUUAAAUAAACACUUAGUGAUUGAUCCUUUAGGCCAGCCAAGGAAAACCAAAAUCAGACUCCCAUCAGCUAUUCUGGGUUCAAAACCUGGUUGUCUACGGAACCAGAAGUUUGCUGUAAUAGAAGACCCAGUCAGAAG